CAAAAGUCCCUUGAACUUUCAAGCGAAUCCGCAAUUAAAUAUUCUGCCCAUGCGGGGAAGGAUGAGAAGCUUCGACUAAGGUUCGACUCGAGCGCCAGCGAGAGAGCGUUGCCGCAGGCAACGACCCGAAGGGCGAAGCGC
rnacentral:sRNA from 1 species